UACGGAGGGGGCUAGCGUUGUUCGGAAUUACUGGGCGUAAAGCGCACGUAGGCGGAUCGGAUAGUCAGAGGUGAAAUCCCAGGGCUCAACCUUGGAACUGCCUUUGAAACUCCCGGUCUUGAGGUCGAGAGAGGUGAGUGGAAUUCCGAGUGUAGAGGUGAAAUUCGUAGAUAUUCGGAGGAACACCAGUGGCGAAGGCGGCUCACUGGCUCGAUACUGACGCUGAGGUGCGAAAGCGUGGGGAGCAAACAGG
rnacentral:rRNA from 1 species